rnacentral:rRNA from 1 species
UAGGGAAUCUUCCACAAUGGACGCAAGUCUGAUGGAGCAACGCCGCGUGAGUGAAGAAGGUUUUCGGACCGUAAAGCUCUGUUGUUGGUGAAGAAGGAUAGAGGUAGUAACUGGCCUUUAUUUGACGGUAAUCAACCAGAAAGUCACGGCUAACUACGUGCCAGCAGCCGCGGUAAUACGUAGGUGGCAAGCGUUGUCCGGAUUUAUUGGGCGUAAAGCGAGCGCAGGCGGAAGAAUAAGUCUGAUGUGAAAGCCCUCGGCUUAACCGAGGAAUUGCAUCGGAAACUGUUUU